rnacentral:rRNA from 1 species
AUUGAACGCUGGCGGCAGGCCUAACACAUGCAAGUCGAACGAGUGGCGGACGGGUGAGUAAUGUCUGGGAAACUGCCUGGUGGGGGGGUAUAACUACUGGACACGGUAGCUAAUACCGCAUAACAUCAGGUGUGCACAGAUGGGAUUAGCUAGUCGGUGGGGUAAUGGCUCACCUAGGCGACGAUCCCUAGCUGGUCUGAGAGGAUGACCAGCCACACUGGAACUGAGACACGGUCCAGACUCCUACGGUAGGCAGCAGUGGGGAAUAUUGCACAAUGGGCGCAAGCCUGAUGCAGCCAUGCCGCGUGUGUGAAGAAGGCCUUCGGGUUGUAAAGCACUUUCAGCGAGGAGGCGUUACUCGCAGAAGAAGCACCGGCUAACUCCGUGCCAGCAGCCGCGGUAAUUC